rnacentral:rRNA from 1 species
AUUGAACGCUGGCGGCAUGCCUUACACAUGCAAGUCGAAUGGUAGAGGGGGCAACCCCUUGAGAGUGGCGAACGGGUGAGUAAUGCAUCGGAACGUGCCCAGUUGUGGGGGAUAACACUUCGAAAGAAGUGCUAAUACCGCAUACGACCUGAGGGUGAAAGCGGGGGACUCGCAAGAGCCUCGCGCAAUUGGAGCGGCCGAUGUCAGAUUAGGUAGUUGGUGGGGUAAAGGCCUACCAAGCCGACAAUCUGUAGCUGGUCUGAGAGGACGACCAGCCACACUGGGACUGAGACACGGCCCAGACUUCUACGGGAGGCAGCAGUGGGGAAUUUUGGACAAUGGACGCAAGUCUGAUCCAGCCAUGCCGCGUGCAGGAAGAAGGCCUUCGGGUUGUAAACUGCUUUUGUCAGGGAAGAAAUCCUUUGGGUUAAUACCUCGGGGGGAUGACGGAACCUGAAGAAUAAGCACCGGCUAACUACGUGCCAGCAGCCGCAGUAAAAC